rnacentral:rRNA from 1 species
AGGACGAACGCUGGCGGCGUGCUUAACACAUGCAAGUCGAGCGGAAAGGCCCUUCGGGGUACUCGAGCGGCGAACGGGUGAGUAACACGUGGGCAACCUGCCCCUAGCACUGGGAUAACUCCGGGAAACCGGGGCUAAUACCGGAUAUGACCUUUGAGGGCAUCCUCGAAGGUGUAAAGGAUUCUGGCUAGGGAUGGGCCCGCGGCCUAUCAGCUUGUUGGUGGGGUAAUGGCCUACCAAGGCGACGACGGGUAG